rnacentral:rRNA from 1 species
CAGUAGCCGCGGUAAUACGGAGGGUGCAAGCGUUAAUCGGAAUUACUGGGCGUAAAGCGCACGCAGGCGGUCUGACAAGUCAGAUGUGAAAUCCCCGGGCUUAACCUGGGAACUGCAUUUGAAACUGUCAGGCUGGAGUCUUGUAGAGGGGGGUGGAAUUCCAGGUGUAGCGGUGAAAUGCGUAGAGAUCUGGAGGAAUACCGGUGGCGAAGGCAGCCAUCUGGCCUAAUACUGACGCUGAGGUACGAAAGCAUGGGGAGCAAACAGGAUUAGAUACCCCUGUAGUCCCUGUCUCUUAUAC